AGAGACGUUCUGGGGCAAGCUCUCGGAGGCCUGAGGGGACUGGGCAGCGUUGGUCACGUGACCCCAGGCCCCUCCCACUCGCCCUCCCUAAGGCUCCAGGCUGGAAAUAACGGAGCUCUCUCUCCGAAGUGCUAGUGCUGCGUUGUCACAGCAACCCUUUGAGAGUGGAAGCACGAUGAAUAAUAAACUCCUUUUUCUACAGAAGAGGAAACCGAGGCCUGAGCCUUGGAUGGGAAUCAAAGACCACACUCUUCUAGAGGCACUGAAGAACGAAGUAACAAGAACAAUGAAAACUUUAAUCAGAAUAAUAGCAAAAGGUGCUGUAUUGAAGUCUGCACCAAGUACCAUGGGAUUGCCCUUCGUGAGAAUCCAGAGAACUUGUAGGAGAACAUGAUGUUUGAGUUGCGUCUUGAGGAUGAGGAGUUCAAAGAUAAAGAAAAGCAUACGUAGAGAGUCUCUACUAUUCUCUUCAGACUCCUCCUCUUCAUCAUCAUCAGAGUACUUUUUCUUUGGGGUCUUUCUCCGCAAACGCCUGCUUUGCCUCAUUGGCCGGGAAGGAUGUCGCCUCAGUCUUCGGCUACAGAAAUCAGU